UCAAGCUACUAAGGGCGUAUGGUGGAUGCCUUGGCGCCAACAGGCGAUGAAGGACGUGGUUAGCUGCGAUAAGCUUCGGGGAGCCGCAAACAGGCUUUGAUCCGGAGAUCUCCGAAUGGGGAAACCCCGCCGAGCGAACCUCGGCGACGGCCCGCUGAAUCCAUAGGCGGGUGCGAGCGAACCCGGGGAAGUGAACCAUCUCAGUACCCGGAGGAAAAAAAAGAAACCUCGAUUCCGAAAGUAGUGGCGAGCGAAAUCGGAACAGCCCAAAUCCCGGGCCCCGCUUGCGGGGCGCGGGAGGUUGUAGGGCCCGCAACAGUAGAGUUACCAAUCCGGCCGCUAGCCGAACCCGCUGGAAAGCGGGGCCGUAGCGCGUGAUAGCCGCGUAGGCGAAAGCGGACCGGACUCGAAGCGGGUUCCUGAGUACCGCGGGACACGUGAAAUCCUGUGGGAAUCUGGGAGGACCAUCUCCCAAGGCUAAAUACUCGUUGGCGACCGAUAGUGAACCAGUACCGUGAGGGAAAGGUGAAAAGCACCCCUGCGAGGGGAGUGAAAUAGUACCUGAAACCGUAUGCCUACAAACGGUGGAAGGGCCAUGGAACGCCGCAAGGCGCCUCCGGCCUGACCGCGUGCCUAUUGCAUAAUGAGCCGGCUAGUUAUUCUCACGAGCGAGGUUAAGCGCUCAGCGAGCCGCAGCGAAAGCGAGUCCUAAUCGGGCGACAGUUCGUGGGAAUAGACGCGAAGCGGGAUGAUCUACCCUUGGCCAGGAUGAAAGGUGGGUAACACCACCCGGAGGUCCGAACCAGUGUUGGUUGAAAACAGCUUGGAUGAGCUGAGGGUAGGGGUGAAAGGCUAAUCAAAUUCCGUAAUUGCUCGUUCUCUCCGAAAUAGCUUUAGGGCUAGCCUUGCGUGAAUCGCAGCGGGGGUAAAGUACUCGAUGGACUAGGGGCGUUUCCGCGUUACCGAAUCCAACGAAACUCUGAAUACCGCUGACGCAUGCGCAGGAGUCAGACGGCGGGGGCUAAGCUUCGUCGUCGAGAGGGAAACAGCCCAGAUCGCCUGCUAAGGCCCCCAAGCGCCAGCUAAGUGGGAAAGGAAGUCGGAACUCCUAGACAGCCAGGAGGUUGGCUUAGAAGCAGCCAUCCUUUAAAGAAAGCGUAAUAGCUCACUGGUCAAGAGGUCCGGUGCCGACAAUUCAACGGGGCUCAAGCUGGCCGCCGAAGCAGCGGAUGCGUCGCGCGCAAGCGCGACGCUUGGUAGGAGAGCGUUCUCAGCCAUGAAGGCCGACCGUAAGGACGGCUACUGCGGCUGGGAAGAGACCCUGCCGGCAUAAGUAGCGAUAAACCAUGUGAGAACCAUGGUCGCCGAAAGUCUAAGGUUUCCUGAGGAAGGUUAAUCCGCUCAGGGUUAGUCGGUCCCUAAGGCGAGGCCGAAAGGCGUAGCCGAUGGACAUCGGGUCAAUAUUCCCGAACUUGCAGCAGCUCGUUAUUACGACGCGGGGACGCGGAAGGCUGGCGGAGACGGCGGAUGGUUGUGCCGUUGAUGCGCCGCAAGCGGGUCCGGCUAGGCAAAUCCGGCCGGGCAUCCCAAACCGUGAGGGCGCGGACCAGGGCGUACGCCCACAAAGUCCGUGAGGCCACGCCGCCAAGAAAAGCCGCUAAGGAGAGCUGCCGCAAACCGUACCCCAAACCGACACAGGUAGACGAGGAGAGUAUCCACAGGCGCUCGAGAGAACACUCGUUCAGGAACUCGGCAAAUUCGUCCCGUAACUUCGGGAGAAGGGACGCCCCGGUAGGGUUCAUAGCCCGAGGGGGCCGCAGUGAAAUGCAUCAGGCGACUGUUUAACAAAAACACAGGUCUCUGCAAAGUCGAAUACGACGUAUAGGGGCUGACGCCUGCCCGGUGCUGGAAGGUUAAAGGGAGGGGUCAUCCCGCCGCAAGGCGGGGGCAGCUCCGAACUGAAGCCCCAGUGAACGGCGGCCGUAACUAUAACGGUCCUAAGGUAGCGAAAUUCCUUGUCGGGUAAGUUCCGACCUGCACGAAUGGCGUAACGAUCUGAUGACUGUCUUAACGAGUGGCUCGGCGAACUUGUAGUUCCGGUGAAGAUGCCGGUUGCCCGCAUCUAGACGGAAAGACCCCGUGCACCUUUACUGUACCUUAACAGUGAGCUAUAGAACGGUCUGCGUAGCAUAGGUAGGAGGCUUGGAACCCUGGGUUUUGGCUUGGGGGGAGCCGCCAGUGAAAUACUACCCUGAUCGUUCCGUGGCUCUCACCUACCCCCGUCAUCCGGGGGAGGGACCCUGUUAGGCGGGCAGUUUGACUGGGGCGGUCGCCUCCUAAAUUGUAACGGAGGCGCGCGAUGCUUGGCUCAGGCUGUUUGGAAAUCAGCCGACGAGCGUAAAGGCAUAAGCCAGGUUGACUGCGAGACCUACAAGUCGAGCAGGUGCGAAAGCAGGCCUUAGUGAUCCGGUGGUUCCACAUGGAAGGGCCAUCGCUCAACGGAUAAAAGGUACGCCGGGGAUAACAGGCUGAUCGGAGCCAAGAGUUCAUAUCGACGCUCCGGUUUGGCACCUCGAUGUCGGCUCAUCGCAUCCUGGAGCUGUAGAAGGUUCCAAGGGUUGGGCUGUUCGCCCAUUAAAGCGGUACGUGAGCUGGGUUCAGAACGUCGCGAGACAGUUCGGUCCCUAUCUGAUGUGGGCGGAGGAGAUUUGCGGGGUCCUGUCCUUAGUACGAGAGGACCGGGAUGGACGAACCUCUUGUGUUCCAGUUGUCGCGCCAGCGGCACCGCUGGGUAGCGAAGUUCGGUCGGGAUAAGCGCUGAAUGCAUAUAAGCGCGAAGCCCUCCCCAAGAUGAGAUCUCCCAACCCCUCAAGGGGUAUGAAGGCCACGGGAAGACGACCCGUUCGAUAGGCGGGAUGUAGAAGUCCGGCAACGGAUGCAGCUAACCCGUACUAAUCGGCCGUUCGGCUUGACCAC
rnacentral:rRNA from 1 species